UCCACUGGCUCUCUCGCUGGGACAAGGAUUGUCUGCACUCCCACUUCUCGUGCCCUCCUAUUUUGCGUGAUCUAAUAUAAAAUGUUGACGUGGCUUAACCGUGAUCACACAAAACUGGAGGGCACGGGAAAUGGGAGGGCAGAUAAUCCUUGUCCAUCUCGCUGAGAACACGAACCUAGCUCGAGUUCUCUCCCUAGUUUUUUCUUCUCUGGGUUAUCUAUGUUCGUUCUCACUUAUCGACAAUGUUUCUCCACUUUUUUCCUUCAUUCUGUUUUCUCUGAACCAAAGAACGAUGGAAGGGCAAUGAACUCAAAUCAAUUCAAAUCCAAUCCGACACAUUCAUGCAAUGCAAUCGAAGGUCAGUGCCUUCUUCAAACCCUCAUCUUCCUCUUCUUCUUCACCCAAAACCAGCAGCUUCACCUCCAAUUGUUACUGAUGGAAACGACGACGAAGUGACCGUCUGAAAAAGACGCAGCACCCUACUGUUAACACUUAUGAGCGAAGAGUUCCAAACCCGCAAAGUGGAAGGGACAAAAGUUCUGUUCACCAAUUUCUGGUGAAACCCUUUUCGGACGAUAAUUCUGGGAAGCCGGAAUGGACCGCAUUGGGAACAACAGUGAUCAAGAACAAGAAGAGAUGAUAUGCUCAGUUCUAUAUAAACUUUGGUCAGUUUGAUUUCAAUGUCACGUUUAGAAUGAUUUUGAGAAUAUUUGACUCAUUUUGUGAUUUAAUCAUGUAUGAUUGUCGAAUUCUUAUUUCUUAUUUCUCAGUGUUCCCAUGUUAUUUAUUGUCAAGUAUUAUUCGGGGAUUAAUUCAAACUUUGGACAAUAUAGGAUAAAAAUACACUAGAUUUAGUGAAAAUACUAUCUUCAUCAUGAAAAUAACGAGAUAAUGAAUAUAUUCUAACAAGUUUCAAAGUAAUCCGAUAAAAUGAGGAAGUAUCCUUAUCCAUUGUUGAAGUAUCCUGAGUUCCUUCUGCUUACUAGAUUUUACAAGGAAAUAUCGUGAAUGUUCAUGUUGUAUCUCUAUUAUAUAUGUAUAUAGUGUUUAAAACCCAUAUAUAUUGUUUACAACCUUCCUAUCCCUAUUCAAUGUUAAGCAAACUGUUGUAGGUCGAUUAUAGGGAAUUUUAACGAAAAGCAUCCGGUACUGUUCACUUUAACGAAAAACCACAUUUUACACUAAAAAGUCAAUCCUGGUACUAUUCACUUUACCCUUUAUUUUGUCCUUAUCAUUAAAACUCAAAGUUUUCAAGCCUUUUUCAUUAGUUUUCCUUCGAUUAUAUUCUUUGCCCUGGAGGUUGUGUUUUAGAUGAAUCCGUUUCAGAUUGGAAGAAAACUUAAACCCAGAAAACGUUGGGUUUCCUGGUGAGUUGUCCGGCAGAUUUCAGGUUGCUAAUUUCGUGAUUAUAGUUAAUUUUGCUUCAUGACAUUGUGGUAUGCUAUCGAAUCUAAUUGGCGAUUUUUUUGAAUGGUUUUUGUGUGGAUGCAGGUCGGCAACGAACAGGUUGAUCAUGUCUUGAGUUUUCCGACUGAUUUAUUCCAUCCUAUCAGUUCUGAUUUUGUCCCUCCAUAACAUUUGCAGCACCAUCUACCUUGCUCUCAUCACAGCUUGACUUUCAGUUCCUCAGGGGGAAUGGUGGAUGUGAGAGUUUUUUUUACAGCAAUUCAAAGGGAAUAGCUUGAGAGACAAUGGACUCUUCCCCUAUUCCUCCACAUUCACUUUUCCCAAUUUUCAAGAACACAUUAAAUUCCCCCAAAAUAUAAGCCGAGGUAUGGAAAAGCUUCGAAUUCCUUGGUUUCCUCCAAUUAGUAUGUAGAACUCUCAAAAAAGAAAGAAGUGAGGAUUGAAUGUCUACCCUUGUAUAUACGUAGAGAGAUAUAGAAAAGCUUAGAAUGGUGAAGUGAGGGUUCAAUGACUUAUUACUCAUUUUGGUCUAUUUAAAUAAAGUUUGUUGAUUGGGUUGAUUUGUGUUGUGUGCAUAUACUUCUUGGGUUUAUUUCUUUUUUAUGGACUUAUUUGUUUCUGUAUCGAUUGCUGAGAAAAUGGAUAGGGUGCCAAAAAGAAAGGUGGCAUUAGGAAUAAUGGCUUUUUGAUAGAAUUAGAGUUUGAUCUCUUCAUUUUGGUUGUGCAUAUUUCGUUUGAUCUCUUUCUUUGGGUUGUGCAGAUUUCGUUUGAAUUAAUUUGGGUUGAGUGGAAGUGAAUAAUUAUUUGAAUUAAUUAAUUUCUCUUGGGUUGUGCAUAUUUCCUUUGAAUUAAUUUGCGUUGUGCUUGAGCAUUGUACAGACAUGAACGUGGGUAAAGAGUAGGAUAAAGGGAAGAGAAAAUGAUGUGAUCAUCCACCUCAAUCGAUUUGUUGACGUAGUACCUUUUUUUCUGUUUAUAAUUAUAUGUUUUUCAUCUUUUUGGAGUAUUUCAUCGAGGAUUUGCCACGAAUUUCUGAGAGUUUCAUUUCACCCAAACAAUGGGCGUUGGAAUGGUAGUGCCUUUUUAUUCAAAUUUUAUUUAUUUUGAAUAUUAUGUGUUUAAAAGUGUAAAUUUGCAUAAUUGAAUCUUCGCUCAAAUUUUAUACUUCA